UACGUAGGGGGCAAGCGUUGUCCGGAUUUAUUGGGCGUAAAGAGCGUGUAGGCGGCCAGGUAGGUCCGUUGUGAAAACUCGAGGCUCAACCUCGAGACGUCGGCGGAAACCCUCUGGCUAGAGUCCGGAAGAGGAGAGUGGAAUUCCUGGUGUAGCGGUGAAAUGCGCAGAUAUCAGGAGGAACACCGAUAGCGAAGGCAGCUCGCUGGGACGGUACUGACGCUGAGGUGCGAAAGCGUGGGGAGCGAACAGG
rnacentral:rRNA from 1 species